rnacentral:rRNA from 1 species
UGCCCACUGAUUUAAAAAUUAAAGGGCUGCAGUAUAUUGACUGUACAAAGGUAGCAUAAUCAUUAGUCAUUUAAUUGAUGACUUGUAUGAAAGAUUUGAUGAGAUAUAAACUGUCUUAAUUUUAAAUUAUAGAAUUUAAUUUUUUAGUUAAAAAGCUAAAAUAAAUUAAAAAGACGAGAAGACCCUAUAGAGUUUUAUUUUAGUAUAAAUUUAUAAUUUUUUAUAAAUUUUAGGUUGAGAUUUUUAUUAAAAUUUUAUUGGGGUGAUAGAAAAAUUUAAUUAACUUUUUUUUUUAAAAACAUAAAUAAGUGAAUAUUUGAUCCAGUUUUAUUGAUUAUAAGAAAAAAUUACCUUAGGGAUAACAGCGUAAUUUUUUUUUUUAGUUCAUAUAAGAAAAAAAGUUUGCGACCUCGAUGUUGGAUUAAGAUAAAAUUUAAAUGUAGAAGUUUAAAAUUUUGA